CGAAUAACACUUGAUUUUUUUAACACUUUUCGUGCAUAGCUAGAAGAAAUAGUUACAUAGUGACUUAGUGAGGGAAUACAUAAUGGAACCCAUGCCACCUCUCAGGCCUGUGACAUAAAUCCACCCAAAACAAAAAGUCCUCCCCUUUUCUCUCUCUAAAAUUAAACAGCUCUCUUUUUCUCUCUUUUGCUCUAUUCGCUUGCUUAGUUGCUUGGAAACUGGAAAGUCUCUGGCCCAGAUCCGGUUUGAAUCUGUACUACUCUAGGUACCUUGAAAACGGCGAAGGCUCUGCCGAGAGAGACCUAGAAGCCGGCACCAGCGAUCCCUCCGGCGACCUCAAACCAGAUCCGGGUGACCCGAGAAGGAUGGAGGAGGGUGCGUCGGAGAUGAGGGUCCAGUAGAUAUCUGCAGAUGAGGGUGAUGGAGCUGUUUUUUGCGUAAAAAUUGCAGAUGAGAGUGAUGGAGUUGUUUUUUGCGAAAAAACGGGGCCUGUGAUCCGAACCGAGUAUGAGAGGAAUCGAGAAAGCGCAAAAAGUGACAUUGAAGUUGCGUGAAAACUUCAAAUCAACACAAAUGUAACUGAAUGUACCUUUUGUAUUGGGGAAAUCAUCAUCUUUAACUCAGGGUCACUGCCGCAACUGUGAAUAUCAGGGAUCGUGAACUUUCAAUCUUUGAGGCGGCGGCGGGGAGUGGGUAUGCGCAUGCCCAAUCGGUGAUGGGAUUUUUGUAUAAUAUGGGAAUGUUUCUGAUCUUCACUGUCUGUUUUAAUUUCGGUUAUUAACCGAAUAACCGAAUUAUUCGAUUAUCAUGUAUUUCGGUUAUUUGUUCGGAUAUUUAAAAUAGGACAAUUUCAAUUUUCGGUUAUAACCGAAAUAUUAAUUCGGUUCGGUUAAUAAUCGAAUGCUCACCCUGGUAUUUUAAAUUAGAGAAAAAAGAAAAAAAUGAGAGGAGUGAAAAUCAGAGAAAGUUGGGUUUCAUGGGCCUAAAAAUUUUAUCCCACUUUUGUGAAGAAGGUUGAAGAAAAAAAAAAGGUGAAUUAUUCUCUUUCUUUUCUUCCCUUCUUUUCUCUUUUUUUUCAUUUCUUUUUUUAAUUUAAAAAACUUCCGAACACUGUUAAACUUUCGCGUUAUAGAGAUUAUUCAUUCAAAAAAUUGAGAGAUAGGGUUUGAAUUUUCUAAUGAAUGUUUGACUGAAAUAUGAUGCGUAGUGCACACUUUGUUUUCUCGUUUUCCAGUGUGCAAGCACGGUUGAUUUGAUUAGUCCAUUUUUAUGUAAAUUAUAUAUUCACUUGUGUGUAAUUUAAAAUAAAGUUUAGGAUACAAAUCGAAUUUAGAAUUAAAAUUUUAGAUGCAAAUUGAAAUUUAGCCUUACUUAUUCUUGGGUCAACCCGUGCCAACCCGGAAAUAUAGCUUAUGAAAUGGGCAAAUCUUAUCGAUUGACGCGCUCUCUAUAUUGAAUGGGG
rnacentral:lncRNA from 1 species